rnacentral:lncRNA from 1 species
AAUCAUGUCAUACAUAAUAUUAAUACCCAUAUGCAUAAAAUCCAAAAGGACACAUUAUACAUAAACCUUUGGCUCUGAUACCACUUGAAGGGAAAUCUAUGAGAUUCAUGUAUGGGAUUUCUAAAUGACUAGCAUGCAUAUACAAUUCAAAAUUAAUAUACAUGAGUAACGGAAGCAUUUAUCAAAUAAUAUCAAAGCAAUAGUCAUGCAAAUCCCCUUCAAGGUUCAUAGAUUUAUAUAUAAUGCAUCAAAAACAUUUUUUGAGAACCAAGAACAAAGUGAAGGUUUAGUCUUAUACCUCUUGAUCUAGAUUUAAGACCAAGAAUGGACCACCUCCAAGCCCUUUGCUCCUUGAAAUCCUUGAGCCUAGCCUCCCUCUUUGCCUCCUCCACUUUGAAAGAAUGAGUGCUCCUAGGUUCUCUUCAAGUUUCCAAAGUUGAAAACCUCUAAAGAUCCUCACCCACUAGUGUAGUGAGAAGGAUGAAGGAAUAACCAAAGGGUGAAAGAUGUGUUAGUAAAAUCACCCCAAGGUGGCCGGCCUUUGAUGUGUUUUAGAGAGAUAUUUCUUUUGCCUCUUUGUUGUUUUAAACAAACAAAAACCCUAAUGAACAAUAUCUCUAUAAAGUU